GAACCCUAGGCAGAAGGGGAAGUAAAAACAAAAUAAAGCAGAGGAAUUGGAACUCUUCCAAGUUAAGGGGUACCUUCAUUGAUCUCGGGCAGAGGUUUUUGUUUUUAAAAAAGUUCUUGAUCUUCCGGGGUCAUUUCUGCCCCCAAUUGACUUAUCUAUCAUGUGGAACUCAUGCCCACUGCAGAGGCUUCUGGGAAAUAUUCUCAUGUAUAUGCUCAGUCCCGCUGUCUUGACAGGCCUUAGCAUCAUGCUCUAUGAACAGUGAUCUACCUGGUGAGGGUCACAAACCCCUAAAUGGGGCCCAUAGCAUCAGCAGUGUGCCCCAUCACGGUCAUGGGGGUCGGCAGUUUGUCAAGACUGCUGUGUGCAGUCUUAGGCCUUAGCCUUGGGCCUAUUCACGUAUUAUUAAACAUACAGUGGUACCUCUACUUACAAAUAACUCUACUUACGAAUGUUUCUACUUACGAACGGAGCUCUGUCCGCCAUCUUGGAUGCGGUUUAGAUAGGAUUUUUUCUACUUACGAAUUUUUAGAUAGGGUUGCUUUGACUUACGAAUUUUUUCUCCCAAUGCAUUCCUAUGGGAUUUGACUUGCAAUUUUUUUCGACUUACAAAUGUGUGUUCGGAACACAUUAAAUCCGUAAGUAGAGGUACCACUGUAAAUCACUUGGCAACCUUUAAAGUAACAAGCAACUAAUAACGUCCACUAAAUGAUAAAAAAUAAUAAUUAAUUUGAAAUAUUAUAAUCUGUGCUUUCAUUGUAUAUAUAUCAAGGUGGUUCACAGCACAUAAAAAAUUCGGAAUAGAGUAGUUGCUUUGGAAGACGAUCAGGCAUCCGCACAUGACCAGUCCAACGAAGUUGAUGUUGAAGAAUCAUUGCUUUAACGCUGGUGAUCUUUGCUUCUUCCAGUACGCUGAUAUUAGUUCGCUUGUACACCAGUCGCAGCCCUAUCUGGAGCAGUUGGACUUGCUCUUAGUCAUCCGUGCCCUAUUUUUGUUGGCACACGUCUGUCUUAGAAGACAAUGGAGGAGUGAGCCUUUGGGGGUCAGUCAGACCAUUGCAGCUGGAGCAGAAGAAGGCUGGGCCAGACUGGUUAGCUCCAAAACUAGGCUACUGGAAUGGACUUCACCUGGGGCUGGCUCUAUUAUUAUUAAGUCCACACACACAAAAUUUAGUGCAAAAUAUCCUUUUCUAAAACAAUAUCCUUUUUCUUAAAAACAAGUAAGGAUAAAGAAAGAGGAAGAAAAGGUUUAAACCUUGUGAAAAGGGAAAUAAAAUAAGGAAAUAAAAAGUAUACAAAGCAAAAAAAGAAUGGCAAAAAGUAAGGGGUAACUUCAAAUUCAUUGUCUGUCAGCUAUAUAUAGAAAAGUAUUCAAGACAUUCACUCCAAGGUAACCCCUGACUUUUCUACCUUCUAUAAACCAGUAUUUUCGCAUGGGCUUAGAACAGAAUUCGGCCUGCUGGAUGCUGGGGGAAGCCAGAUGUCUGAAACAUAACCCUGAAGCUAUGCUGGCUGCUGGCAAAGCUUCCUUUAAAGGUUCAGAGUCCUAAAGAGCUUGGGGCAGUUAUUUAAAGGACCAUUUUCACUCAUAUAGUCCUGCACCAGCCUAAAUUCUGCUUUGGUGGGUCUUGAGUUUCUCCCUCAAAAUAUCAGUUAGGUUGACCUGCACACACAAAACUGGUGGUGGCCCCAGAACUUUGGAACCUAUUGAUUCGUACCUUGCCCCAGUGUUGGUGAGCGUUGGAGACCUUCUUCAAUGCUACCUUUAAUGAAGAUCACAGAAUCCUAAAGUUGGAAGGGGACCCCGAGGAACAUCUAGUCCUCCAAUGCAGGAAUAUGCAACUGUUCUAUACAGGGAUCGAACCUGCAACCUUGGCGUUAUCAGCACCAUGCUCUAACCAACUGAGCUAACUGGCCAGCUAGGGCAUCACAGAGCAGCUUCUUAAUUUUUCUGUGUGUUUGCUGCUGUGGCUAUUCUACCUUUAUACUUUGCAAAGUCUUGUUUGUAUGUUGCAUUGUGAGGCCACAGGAUAUCAAGUCCAUCUAGCUCAGCAAUGUCUACACAGACUGGCAACAGCCAUGCAAGGUACGGGGUGUUUUCUAACCCAGUAGAUGCCAGCGAUUGAACAUGUGCUAAUACCACUCCAAUAUUGCUCCUUUAUACUAAAAAUGCAGAGGUUCAUGCAACGUGAGAAACCAUGCAUGUGUGCUUUUACACAGGUCACAGAAUUCACCUCUUCAUGGUGCAGAAAUAAGUACAGACAGCCUUGAUGAUGACUUCAUUUCCCUGAGAGAAGAAGGUGUACUAUUGCAUAUGGAUACUUCAUUUGAUUGCUGCAGUAUUUGCAAGGGAUACUCACCUCCUUAGAGCCAAAGUACCAUACAGCUUGCACAUCUUGGUGUUCGGCUAAGGCCCGGCUCAAAUGGUCCCGGUUGCCAGAGAUGAUGUUCACCACUCCACCAGGGACGUCCGAAGUGUCUAGUACCUGAUAGAGAAGAGAUGGAUGCCAUUUGUUGCAAAGAGGACUACUGGGAGAGAUCCACAACAUGCUGGAAUACUUCAGGUGUGCCACGGAAGAGAUACAGAAUGGACUGUGCAGAAUGUGUAUCGACAUGUGAGGAAUACAGUAACUUUUCAGAUCUUGUUUGGGAAAAGAAUAGCACUGAGAAAUAUGGGGCAUUGACUUUCAACUGCAUGUUACCAGCUGUCUCCACUUAGCCAUCUGUCAGAAAAUAUACAAAACUGAAAACCGAAAACCCAGACACUGCACUACUGGGCAAACAGCAUCCCCUCCAGAAGCACAAACUCCCACAGAUAUGUGUGUGCUCCUUUUCAUUCCAUGUAAAAGAAGUUGGGGAUUCAGUGCCUGAACAUUGCAGACGGCUCUUGCUUCAGAAUAAUGACAGCUACAUGUUCUUUCAUGGGAAAAUCACAGCAUUUUCCUUACCAGGCAGCAGUAAAGGAAACCUGGGCUAUAUUUAAAGCACACUUGUAUCAUUUUAACAAUUGUCUUUCUGUGAAGAAUCAUGGGAACUGUAGUUUGUUCCGGGUGCUCAGAAUUGCUAGAAGACCCUUCACAAAACCACAGUUCCAGGAUUUAUUAUUGUUUUUUGAAGGGUGGGGAGCCAUGACUGUUAAAGUGGGAUAAGAGAGGAAGAGAAUCCCAAAGGGUUUCUACCAGCAAUUUUACAAGCUUUUUGUGACAGUGAUUUAUGAAUUAGUCACUGCGUAAUUUUGAAAUCACUUGUUAUUAUAAGCCUUUAGUUCUCUCAAGGGGAAAAUUGCAACUCCCUCCCAGAUUUUUGUAUAAACACAUUUUUUUAUUAUUAGAGUAAUAAAAAUGAACACCAAACCACAGAGAACAGAAAGCUGCAAGCCAUUGCUUAGAGCAGGCAUAGGCAAACUCAGCCCUCCAGAUGUUUUGGGACUACAACUCCCAUCAUCCCUAGCUAACAAGACCAGCGGUCAGGGAUGAUGGGAAUUGUAGUCUCAAAAAAAAUCUGGAGGCCCAAGUUUGCCUACACCUGGCUUAGAGGCUUUUUUACGCAGCAAUAUAUAGCAAUAGUUUUAAGUUCUGUGUUCAUUUCUCUUUCUCAUCUUGCCUUUGCCUGACAUCCUUUCUGUACAAUUUGUGUCCGCACUGUGCAGAUAGGCAAUUACUCUUCCAGAUGGACUUCCGCAGUCAAAUAAAGGUUUUAUAAGGGAUUUGAUAGUCCUUUCUCCCUUGUGUAGUUCAUGUGUGGGGAACAUUUGGCCUGCUAGAUGUCGAACUACAAAUCCCAUCACCCCCAGCAAGCAUGGUCAGUGGCCAAGGCUGAUGGAAGCAGCACUUUAGCAACACCUGAGAGGUUCCUCACACUUAGUAGGUUAUGAAGCCAUGCCAUAAAAUGUAAAAAUCUAGAUUAUUUGCCACGUCCUUGAUUGAAUGAAUGCUGUGUUCCAACAAUUGCUCUUUGCCAUAAUUCCCAAUACCACUGAUUUGGGAUUAAGCAGCCAGCCAUCUUUGGAUUCUUCACUAUUACCUGUUGAGCUGCCGGUAUUAUAAACUUGAUUAAGUUUGGAGAGUCCUUGUGGCUUACAAGGAGACCCUCCCUGGAGUUCCAAAGAUGUCCUCUUCGGGUUCCAGAGAGGGUCUUCUCGCGAGCCACUAGGUGCUUCCCAUUUAUGUGCAUUUCACUGGCACGCAUGGAGGCCCGGAACGUAACCCCCGCAUAAAUGGGGAGUUGCCUGUAGUACAAAUAGAUUUUUAAAAAAUAAUUGAGAGGGAGUUACAGCUUGUUUAUGAUUCUGAACACCUGCUGCUCAAAAGGCCCCAAGUUCUUGACAAGGAGAAGACUGAUUUCCCCGUUGAGUCGUUGAAUUAAUCCUAGUGGUUUAAAGAUUGACAGUAACAGAUAAUUUCAAACUACGUAGUGAUACAUUCGUGCAUCCAUGACGAAAAGGAGAUUGCAUUGCUGACAAGAACCUCUUGAAGAGUCUGUGCAGGGAAUUGGAAAAACUCCCUGUCUCUCCUUGGGAUAAGAUGCAUUUGGUCUUUCUGCCUGUUCUCAAACCAGUUGCCAUUGCAGCUGUCAUCCUCAAUGUUUUCAGCUACACAGCUUUCUAUGCUAAAGAGCCAUUGGUUGCCCCGACUACAAAAUGUUUUGCAGUAUCCUUACUUUCCUGAGGGGGUGUGGCAAAGUAGGAAGCUGGUCAUGUAAGCUCCGCUCUCGCCUCCCAAUUUAUAUAUGUGGAUUGUGGUACUUUAAAGGCUAAUAGUUUUAGGUUUCUCUGACAAAUGGACAUAAGUAACAUCAUUCUGUGCUGCAGAUUCAGGAAGUUACUCUCUUUUCUUUCUCAAGCCACUAAUAGCUAUAAUUCCUUGUGCCUCUUCAUAUUAAAAGUAUACCAAACAAUGGCGAUAAAGCAGAAUCACCAACACACAGAGAUCAAAGGCAGAUGAUAUCCAUGAUGAAUUACUUAGGGUUGUCGUUGUUUUGGCCAAAGUUGAGCUUUUUUAAAAAAAAUUGGCCGAAGUUGUUGAGCUUUUUUGGCAAGAUAAACAAAGUUUGAGCUAUUUUUAAGGACGUGCACCAAAAUCUACACUUCGGUUGCCAUACCGAUUUCCGCCCAGGCACUGCUCCCAACUGCAGCAUUCAGGCUAUGUCUGGGAAAUUCCAGAUAUAUGGAAAUCCUAGAGUUACUGAAGAGGGGGGCUGAGAGUUUUGGGAUAGGUAGGGCUGUAGUACAUGCUGCUUUCUUUUUGAACUUAUUAUACAGGCAGGGACUCAGUGCUGUGACUUCCAGGUCUUUUAUUACACUAGA